AAAUUGAAGAGUUUGAUCAUGGCUCAGAUUGAACGCUGGCGGCAGGCCUAACACAUGCAAGUCGAACGGUAACAGAAAGCAGCUUGCUGCUUUGCUGACGAGUGGCGGACGGGUGAGUAAUGUCUGGGAAACUGCCUGAUGGAGGGGGAUAACUACUGGAAACGGUAGCUAAUACCGCAUAACGUCGCAAGACCAAAGAGGGGGACCUUCGGGCCUCUUGCCAUCGGAUGUGCCCAGAUGGGAUUAGCUUGUUGG
rnacentral:rRNA from 1 species